rnacentral:rRNA from 1 species
UACGAAGGGUGCAAGCGUUACUCGGAAUUACUGGGCGUAAAGCGUGCGUAGGUGGUUUGUUAAGUCUGAUGUGAAAGCCCUGGGCUCAACCUGGGAAUUGCAUUUGAGACUGCGUAGCUAGGGUGCGGAAGAGGGAAGCGGAAUUUCCGGUGUAGCGGUGAAAUGCGUAGAUAUCGGAAGGAACACCUGUGGCGAAAGCGGCUCACUGGACCAUUACUGACGCUGAUGCACGAAAGCUAGGGGAGCAAACAGG